GAUCAUGGCUCAGGAUGAACGCUAGCGGCAGGCCUAACACAUGCAAGUCGAGGGGCAGCACGGUGUGGCAAUACACUGGUGGCGACCGGCGCACGGGUGCGUAACGCGUAUGCAACCUACCCGUAACAGGGGGAUAACACUGAGAAAUUGGUACUAAUACCCCAUAACAUCAGGACCGGCAUCGGUUCUGGUUGAAAACUCCGGUGGUUAUGGAUGGGCAUGCGUUGUAUUAGCUGGUUGGUG
rnacentral:rRNA from 1 species